GGCAACCAUAACUGAGCGCGACACACUAUUACCAUGACAAAAUGAGACUGUGUUGGUGUGCCCAGCAUUGCUACUAAAUUAUUUUCCCCAAUUUAUUCUG